rnacentral:rRNA from 1 species
GUACCUUUUGCAUCAUGAUUUAGCUAGAAAACCUCAAGCAAAGAGCACUUUAGUUUGACCCCCCGAAACUACGUGAGCUACUCCAAGACAGCCUAACAACUAGGGCAAACCCGUCUCUGUGGCAAAAGAGUGGGAAGAUCUUUGAGUAGAGGUGACAGACCUAUCGAACCUAGUUAUAGCUGGUUGCCUGAGAAAUGAAUAGAAGUUCAGCCUCUCGGAUUCUCCCCUCACCCCACCUCCCUCCCCCCGACAAUUAAAAGAAACCGAAAGAGUUAGUCAAAGGGGGUACAGCCCCUUUGACACAAGAUACAACUUUUCCAGGAGGGUUAAGAUCACAAUUCAACACCAAGGUAAAAUGUUUAGGUGGGCCUAAAAGCAGCCACCCCAUAGAAUGCGUUAAAGCUCAAACAUAACCACCACCCCCAAUCCUGAUAAUCUUAUCUUAACCCCCUAACCCUACCAGGCCGUUCCAUGCAAACAUGGAAGCGACCAUGCUAAUAUGAGUAAUAAGAGAAUAGUCAUCUCUCUCCUUGCACAAGUG